CAGAGGUCAGAGUUCAGCUGCAGGUCCACACUGACAACACUUAAGUGGUGAACUGGUGGAAGUCUCACCUCUUCUCCCCUUUGAACUCGAACUUCACUCUGACAUCGUUCUGUUGGAGAGACAAAGAAUGGCAGAAUGAUCAACACUAGAGCGAGUAGAUCGACUUGCUGUUUGGUUACCUGGUUCUUGGGCGAGGAGGCUUUGGGUUUGCCCAGGUCCGACAGGAACAUGGCAGGACGGCUGGAGCGGUGCAGUUCGGCCAAGUCCUGCAUGAUCGAGUUCAGCGCCUCCUGCUCAUCUGAGGGGCAACGAGCGCUCAGUUUAACAGACUUUAUCGGUUUUAAAUAAAUCAAACUGAAUGACAA